CCUGCCCGUGCUUAUAGUUCCUGAAUUCCUUGAUGGCGAAAAUUCGACAACAAUAUGUGAAGUGCGCAAUGCUAUCCCCGCUUCGGAAAUAAAUGUUCACAUUGACAGUGUAUUACUAGCUGAUGUUCUACAAACCGAUUCAUUUAAUGGAUCAUCUCAUACGUUUACAAGUUUAGCAAAGGUGACAAAGGCUAACAAAACGUGGAAUGGAAAGGAAAUGUGCUGCACCAGCAAAAUUAUAUAUGAUAUUGGUUUAAACGAUAAGACAGUCUGCAAACACAUUGAUAUGAAAUAUCCGCCGUCAGACCUUUCGAUGUCCGUUGACAAAAUACAUGAAUAUAAUAACAAUGUUCAUGUUUAUUUAUUAGACAUUUCUUGUGAAACGAAUGAAUCAAAUCCGCCUUGCACAAUUGAAUGGUCAAGUGGAACCGAUAACUUGCAAUACGUUCGACGAAGCAACUGGACAAAUGGUGACAGUGGGAGGUACAGUUCUGUUUCCAACGUGCGUUUCAGUGUUACUAAAGACAUGGCUGGGACAAUUACAUGUGCAACAAGAUGCGAUCACUUCAAAUCUGAUUUAAAUACAAAUUAUACAGUAUCUGUUCAAGGUGACCCGACUCUGAAUGUGAACACGACAUCACCUGUUGGUAUAAAUCCCACUAUUACAGUGACCGUCAUAUGUCAUGUUGAAGACUACGAUGCUAAAGGACAAUGGACGCUUUGAUGGAAAGAUGAAAAUAGCACUGUGAUGAAGACUUGUAACAAAACGGAUGAAUGCCUGUUAACACUUCAAUAUGCGAGAGAUGGCGAAAAUAUUUACACUUGCAACGCUUGGAAAUCAAAUGUGCUUCUGAGAUAUUUUUUGACUGUUAUUAGCGCAAAAACAGAUGGUUCGUAAUUAGCAACUGAAAAAUUGGUUACAUGUUUAGCGGAUGAAAUACCUUUGAUAUAUUUGUAAGAUUUAACGAUUUUAUUUAAAACAUAAUAAUGCAGGUAGCCAAUCCCUCGAAAAUGACAUUCAUACAUUUUCGCCAACAUACUUGUGCGUAUAAAUUAAGCCUGACUUAAGCACACUGCAAAACUACAUAUGCAACUCUGAAUGAAUCUCGAUCUUUAAUUGAUUUAAACACUUUUCAAGGUUCGUUAGUUACUAUAAUAUUGAAUAUAAAAAAAUCAAUUAAUACAUUGAUAGAUGGACGAAACAAUAUCAUGAUGAAACCGUAAUAACCAAACUAGAGUACCUGUACAACAAAUGUUAUCUAAUUGCAGAAUCAUUGACAACAAACCCUGCAUUAGUUGUAACACAACAGUGUCAUUCGGCCCUUUACGCCGUAGGUGGAUUACUUCUAGGUUUACUUGUAACGACGUUUACCGGGCUUCUCUUUUGUAGAUGCAAACCUCAUGUGUAUGAAACGCCAUUACGCCCAAGUAGAACAGCAGUUAGGGAGCAAAGUUUACAAGUGUAUGAUGUUGUUCAGUCUGAUGUGGAGACAACUACCCUCCACAAUCUAAGAGGCGUGUCUGCAGGUGCUAUCGAGAACGAACAUGUACCAUCACGUGUGGAUAUGGAAGAAAAUGUUAGCCACUACGACUAUGUGGACACAACAUACGACCACAGAAACUGUCGGACAAACGCACCCGAUGCAAACUAUAUCCACGCUAUAUAAAGCUUUUUGAGUAUUCUAUCUAAAGUUUUAUCAUAUAGUCAGAUUUUUGUAUUUGGGAAUUUUCGUAAUAAUUGUUUCGCUUACAGUUUAAGUGCUAUCAUUGUUAGAACGUGUAUAUCUAUAUUGUUCUUAAUUGUUUGUUGUUUUAUGUAGCUAUCCAGAUAUACACGUAACGAAACGAGACUUGUAAUUUAUGUCUUAAUUUUUGUUCUAAAUUCUGUUGAGUUAUUACUGAUUAAGCCUCUCAAAUAGCGGUUUCAUAUAUUCAGUCGUUAGUUCGACGCUGUGCGAUGUACAUAUGCUUUUAAUCUCAUGUAGUUUAAAUGGUGUUGUUCCUUAAAUGUUAAAUUAAACAAAGCUGAUGUAAUUUUUUUAACACAUUUAUAGAUCUUUUCAUCAAUAAUAAUAUCUUCGUAGAUGGACACCUUAACCACUAGGCAACACACAUCCUCAAAAUAGCAUCGCAGAAACAUGUAGAUACAAUGACAUUUACAUAUGUUUUUAUAAUGUAUAAGGCAUGCCUUUCUAAAUAUCAGCAUUAAAAGCCACCUUUGUGGUAUGUCGUUGCAUAUAUAACAUUAUUGCAUACAAGGCUGUCUUAAAUAAAAUCAAAUCUGACAUGCCAUUCCGAACUUGUGCUUGUAUGCUUGUUGAUAUUCACAUUUAUCACAUCCUCGUGCUUUCUUAUAUGUCAUUUAAAACUGGCACUUGUAGGCUUGCUGAUAUACGUUCCUCGUGAUAUCUUACAAGUCAUUCCAAACUGGUACUUAUAGUCUUGCUGAUAUACACAUUUGGUGACUUCCUCGUGCCAGUCAUUCCAAACUGGUACUUAUAGGCUUACUGAUAUUCACAUUUGUU